rnacentral:rRNA from 1 species
CCUACGGGUGGCAGCAGUAAGGAAUAUUGGACAAUGCCCGCAAGGGUGAUCCAGCCAUGCCGCGUGCAGGAAGACGGCCCUAUGGGUUGUAAACUGCUUUUACACCGGAGAAAACCCUCGCUCGUGAGCGAGGCUGAUAGUAUGGUGAGAAUAAGCAUCGGCUAACUUCGUGCCAGCAGCCGCGGUAAUACGAAGGAUGCAAGCGUUAUCCGGAUUCAUUGGGUUUAAAGGGAGCGUAGGUGGCCUUAUAAGUCAGUGGUGAAAUCUCUUAGCUU